rnacentral:rRNA from 1 species
GACGAACGCUGGCGGCGUGCUUAAUACAUGCAAGUCGAACGGAGCUUAGCCAGUAGUUUACUACAGGCGAAAGCUUAGUGGCGGACGGGUGAGUAACGCGUGGGUAAUCUGCCCCUAAGUCUGGGAUAACAGAGCGAAAGUUCUGCUAAUACCGGAUAUACUUUCUUUGUCGCAUGGUGAAGGAAGGAAAGGUUACGCUUAGGGAUGAGCCCGCGUCCCAUUAGCUAGUUGGUGAGGUAACGGCUCACCAAGGCGACGAUGGGUAGCCGGCCUGAGAGGGUGGACGGCCACACUGGGACUGAGACACGGCCCAGACUCCUACGGGAGGCAGCAGUAGGGAAUUUUCCGCAAUGGGCGAAAGCCUGACGGAGCAACGCCGCGUGAGGGAAGAAGGUCUUCGGAUCGUAAACCUUUGUCAUCGAGGACGAUAAUGACGGUACUCGAGGAGGAAGCCCCGGCUAACUACGUG